AUUUUUUGGGGCCCCCCCCCCCCCCUUUCCCGGAAGGGUUUUCACGAGUUAUACAACCCUGAUUGAAAGGGUUGGGUUAAUUUUGGGAAAGGCGCAUCGUGUUAGGGAUAAGAAUUUUCCAAUUUUCAGUCUGGAAGGAGGAAUUUCUUAGUUAAACGCAAAUCAUCAACCUGGCAUUGAUUACGUUCCCUCCCCCUUUUACACACCCCGCGCUUUGCCCCCCAAAGGAAAGAAAAGAAUUUGCGGGGAAAAAAAGUGGGGCCGGGGGAGUCGUGUGGCUUUUAAGUGCGAGUGGAAUUGAUGGGAAUUUUUUUAACCCUCGCCAUUUAGAGGAAGGUGAAGUCGUAACAAGGUUUCCGUAGGUGAACCUGCGGAAGGAUCAUUA
rnacentral:ncRNA from 1 species